UACGGGGGGGGCAAGCGUUGUUCGGAAUUACUGGGCGUAAAGGGCCAGUAGGCGGCCAACUAAGUCCGACGUGAAAUCCCAAGGCUUAACCUUGGAACUGCGUCGGAUACUGGAUGGCUUGAAUUCGGGAGAGGGAUGCAGAAUUCCAGGUGUAGCGGUGAAAUGCGUAGAUAUCUGGAGGAAUACCGGUGGCGAAGGCGGCAUCCUGGACCGACAUUGACGCUGAGGAGCGAAAGCGUGGGGAGCAAACAGG
rnacentral:rRNA from 1 species